rnacentral:rRNA from 1 species
UACGAAGGGGGCUAGCGUUGUUCGGAAUUACUGGGCGUAAAGGGCGCGUAGGCGGUGUGUCAAGUCAGGCGUGAAAGCCCCGGGCUCAACCUGGGAACCGCGCUUGAGACUGGCACGCUAGAGUUCGGGAGAGGAUGGUGGAAUUCCCAGUGUAGAGGUGAAAUUCGUAGAUAUUGGGAAGAACACCGGUGGCGAAGGCGGCCUGCUGGGCAGUUGCUGACACUGAGGCGCGACAGCGUGGGGAGCAAACAGG